GACGAACGCUGGCGGUGUGCUUCACACAUGCAAGUCGAACGAGGUAGCAAUACCUAGUGGCGGACGGGUGAGUAACGCGUGGGAAUCUGCCCAUAGGUGGGGGAUAACUAGCCGAAAGGUUAGCUAAUACCGCAUAUGCCGAGAGGUAAAAGGAGUAAUCCGCCUUUGGAUGAGCCCGCGUCCGAUUAGCUAGUUGGUAGGGUAAAAGCCUACCAAGGCUACGAUCGGUAGCUGGUCUGAGAGGAUGAUCAGCCACAAUGGGACUGAGACACGGCCCAUACUCCUACGGGAGGCAGCAGUGGGGGAAUUUUACGCAAUGGGGGAAACCCUGACGUAGCGACACCGCGUGAACGAAGAAGCCCUUUGGGGUGUAAAGUUCUGUCGGCUGGAACGAAAAAAUGACGGUACCAGCAAAGGAAGCAUCGGCUAACUACGUGCCAGCAGCCGCGGUAAU
rnacentral:rRNA from 1 species